rnacentral:rRNA from 1 species
GUCUACGGCCAUACCACUCUGAAAACGCCCAAUCUUGUCUGAUCUCGGAAGCUAAGCAGGUUCGGACCUGGUUAGUACUUGGAUCUUCAAAUUAGUGUUAUUAUCU